UCGGACUUGCCUAGUACGGCGAGUGAAGCGGCAACAGCUCAAAUUUGAAAGCUGGCUCCGGCCCGCGUUGUAAUUUGCAGAGGAUGCUUCUGGUGAGGUGCCUUCCGAGUUCCCUGGAACGGGACGCCAUAGAGGGUGAGAGCCCCGUAUGGAUGGACACCAAACCUGUGUGAAGCUCCUUCAACGAGUCGAGUAGUUUGGGAAUGCUGCUCUAAAUGGGAGGUAAAUCUCUUCUAAAGCUAAAUACCGGCCAGAGACCGAUAGCGCACAAGUAGAGUGAUCGAAAGAUGAAAAGCACCUUGAAAAGGGGGUUAAACAGUACGUGAAAUUGUUGAAAGGGAAGCGCUUGUGACCAGACUUGCGCCGGGCAGCUCAUCAGGGGUUCUCCCCUGUGCACUCUGCCCGGCUCAGGCCAGCAUCGGUUCUCGUGGGAGGAUAAGAACGGUUGGAACGUGGCCCCCCUCCGGGGGGGUGUUAUAGCCUACCGUACGAUACUCCCGUGGGGACCGAGGUUCGCGCUCCGCAAGGAUGCUGGCGUAAUGGUCAUCAGCGACCCGUCUUAA
rnacentral:rRNA from 1 species